ACCUGCCUCUGUUGUGGUGCUACUUGACCAGGUAGGAAAUCUCUGAACUCCUGACCCAGAAAGACAGGGCUCUUGUCAUAAGGAGAGGGAUAUUUUAACUUCCAUCCACGAAGCUCCUGAGGAAAAAAAUUAAAGUUCUGUCAAAACAGGUUAGUAUAUUAGCAAUCAUGGCUCGCUACCAUCUGUAUUUGUUCCACUUGUGGUGUUUAUGACGGUUAUCCACAUUAAUUAUUUCUCUGCUAAAGUCCCUUUUAAUUUCUGAACACUGUUAUUUCUAAGAAAGAUGGAUAUUAGAUAUGCCACACAUCAGCACAGGGUGGCAUUACAGCAUGCUAUUAAGUUCAGAUGCUGAGGCCCAGCAGAAAUAACUUUGUUAUUUGUAAUCGCAAUAAAGUAUUUUAUGUUGUGACUCAAAAGGAGAAACAGCAUUGGUGAAAACUGACUUCUUCCUUCAGCAAUGACCCUGAAUUCACCAAGAAAGACAGAAUCUGCUUAGACUGGGGUAGUUUAGCAUCCAAGAGAAUGCUGGAUUGGGGUGCUGUGACUGUACUUCAGUCAGCUGAGCCCCAACAAAGAGUACUUGAGACCCUGGGUUGAUUCCCCAAUAUCCCUUAAAAUGAGAUGGUGAAGACAGGCAGGUCUGCAAUGUCAUCCCAUUCUCUCCAGAGGCAGAAGUGGGGGAUAAGGACUUUAAGGUCAUUUUCAGGCUCAGGUGGCAUGAAGUCCACCUGGGCUAUAUCAAACCCCACCUCAGAACAGCAAAAGAAAAGUUGGUUUGAGAUUCCCGAGCAGGACAGAGGGAAGGUAUGUGCAAACAGUUGUUCCCAAGCCCAAGGAGAACUGGCAAAGCCCGGUUCACAACCAGAACUCCCAGAGAUGCUGAUUCAGUAGACAUAGGGUGAUGUGUACUUUCUAUCACUGCUGGCACAUACACCCUGAGGAUGGGAACCACCCACAGUGUUCCGCUUAUAAACACCAAUCACAUGUCUACACACCAGCCUUGGGAGGCUGCCUUCAUUGUUCUAUAAGAGAAUAAUUCAAAUUCCUCCUAAUUUCUGACAAUCAGCUCCAAUAAAAGUACCAGUGGGUUUAACAACUAAAGACCAAGAAGGGCAGGCAUCCUUGAAUAAAGCCAAAGGGGGGAUAGAAGGAGCAAAGGAAAUCUUGUCUGUGGAGUGCUUUGUGACAGUAGUUGUUCUGAGGUGAUCCGGGCUAGGUGAGCCCAAAUGCAUCCUCAAGAUUCCUCCCCAUUCAAGCAUGCCUUGGCUUCCCGUUUGCUCAUUCACUUGUCAAAAAAUAUUCUGACCAUCUGUGAUGCACAGGGCACUUUGCUGGCCCCAGGCCCAUUGGUGUUAGUGAGCAGACAUGCUUUGGUUGUCAAGGGUGACAGACAAAUAACUAUAGUAGGGAAAAGUCCACAGCCAUGAGCUGGAAAAAGAAGCAGAUCUGCUUUGAAUAAAGUGGAUCCUAUUUACAUGAGGUGCAGAACAAAAUGAAAGGCAGCUAACAGGAAUCAGCUCACUCUACUGUAGUCUGCCUUGAGCACCCUCAGAUGCCCUACAAUCUUAAAUUCAAGAUAGCAAAUAACUCUUUGUUUCAAGGGUCUAGCGCUUAUACAAACUGGAUUCCUGCUUCUGCUGGGGACAUAGCUCCCCCUGGUGGUCGGAGGCCCAAGUUCUCACAGGCUACAAUCUUUCCAAAGUGUGUUCAACAGGCAUGCAUGGCUUAGAUGGGGAUCUAAAGUCCAGAAAGCAAAUAACCGCCUUGAUUCCUUUGAGGGGUGCUCUGUUGGGUCAUCUGAAACCUUCAUUAAUACCGAGUUUAAAUCUCACCAUCCCAUUUUGCUGGGUGUUGGAAUUUCAGGCAGUUAGUGAAGCUCUCGGACCCCCUAUUUUAAGUUAUUGCAUUUGGAUUGUAGC
rnacentral:lncRNA from 1 species